UGGGGAAUUUUGGACAAUGGGCGAAAGCCUGAUCCAGCAAUGCCGCGUGUGUGAAGAAGGCCUUCGGGUUGUAAAGCACUUUUGUCCGGAAAGAAAUGGCUCUGGUUAAUACCUGGGGUCGAUGACGGUACCGGAAGAAUAAGGACCGGCUAACUACGUGCCAGCAGCCGCGGUAAUACGUAGGGUCCAAGCGUUAAUCGGAAUUACUGGGCGUAAAGCGUGCGCAGGCGGUUGUGCAAGACCGAUGUGAAAUCCCCGAGCUUAACUUGGGAAUUGCAUUGGUGACUGCACGGCUAGAGUGUGUCAGAGGGGGGUAGAAUUCCACGUGUAGCAGUGAAAUGCGUAGAGAUGUGGAGGAAUACCGAUGGCGAAGGCAGCCCCCUGGGAUAACACUGACGCUCAUGCACGAAAGCGUGGGGAGAAAACAGG
rnacentral:rRNA from 1 species